AGCUAUCUGCAGUCAGAGCUUCAGAGGUACAUCACUCAUCGUCUCAGCUGAGCUGUAUACCAACUGCACAAGUUCAGAUUUUGUCAGAACGCGAUAUUAACCAAGUCCAGCAAUCCCGAUCACUAUACAGAGCAAGAUGAAUAAAUGCCUAUUGAUUCUGGUAGUGGUGGCGUGUCUUUUGGGAAUGAUCGAAUUGGCGUACGGAGAUUGUCCAGGAAAUUGCUGGUACUACAGGUCGGAGGCAACCAAACAUUGUUCUUCUCCAACAGCGACCAAUGAGUGCAGCGGUUAUGACCUUUUUGGCCUAUGUCGAUGUUGGUGUUGUUAGACUUGUCUUGCUCGAUUGAUUCAUAAGUAUGCCAACAAUUUUAUAAUGCA